AGCGAACGCUGGCGGCAGGCUUAACACAUGCAAGUCGAGCGGGCACUUCGGUGUCAGCGGCAGACGGGUGAGUAACACGUGGGAACGUACCCUUUGGUUCGGAAUAACGCUGGGAAACUAGCGCUAAUACCGGAUACGCCCUUUUGGGGAAAGGCUUGCUGCCGAAGGAUCGGCCCGCGUCUGAUUAGCUAGUUGGUGGGGUAAUGGCCUACCAAGGCGACGAUCAGUAGCUGGUCUGAGAGGAUGAUCAGCUACACUGGGACUGAGACACGGCCCAGACUCCUACGGGAGGCAGCAGUGGGGAAUAUUGGACAAUGGGCGCAAGCCUGAUCCAGCCAUGCCGCGUGAGUGAUGAAGGCCUUAGGGUUGUAAAGCUCUUUUGUCCGGGACGAUAAUGACGGUACCGGAAGAAUAAGCCCCGGCUAACUUCGUG
rnacentral:rRNA from 1 species